UGGGGAAUAUUGGACAAUGGGCGAAAGCCUGAUCCAGCAAUGCCGCGUGUGUGAAGAAGGUCUUCGGAUCGUAAAGCACUUUCGACAGGGACGAUGAUGACGGUACCUGUAGAAGAAGCCCCGGCUAACUUCGUGCCAGCAGCCGCGGUAAUACGAAGGGGCUAGCGUUACUCGGAAUUACUGGGCGUAAAGGGCGCGUAGGCGGCUUGGCCAGUCAGGCGUGAAAUUCCUGGGCUUAACCUGGGGACUGCGCUUGAUACUGCCAGGCUUGAGGCCGAGAGAGGGUGGUGGAAUUCCCAGUGUAGAGGUGAAAUUCGUAGAUAUUGGGAAGGACACCGGUGGCGAAGGCG
rnacentral:rRNA from 1 species